rnacentral:rRNA from 1 species
UACGGAGGAUGCAAGUGUUAUCCGGAAUCACUGGGCGUAAAGCGUCUGUAGGUGGUUUGCUAAGUCCGCUGUUAAAGCUUGAAGCUCAACUUCGAAAAUGCAGUGGAAACUAGUAGACUUGAGUGUGGUAGGGGUAGAGGGAAUUUCCAGUGAAGUGGUGAAAUGCGUAGAUAUUGGAAAGACCACCAAUGGCGAAGGCACUCUACUGGGCCACAACUGACACUGAGAGACGAAAGCUAGGGGAGCAAACAGG